UCCCGUGUGGCUCAGUUGGUAGAGCAUGGUGUUUGCAACACCAGGGUUGUGGGUUUGAUUCCCACAGGGGAC
rfam:Salmo salar isolate Sally breed double haploid chromosome ssa28, whole genome shotgun sequence.